CCUACGGGAGGCAGCAGUGGGGGAUAUUGGACAAUGGGGGGAACCCUGAUCCAGCGACGCCGCGUGAGUGAAGAAGUAUUUCGGUAUGUAAAGCUCUGUCAGCAGGGAAGAAAGAAAUGACGGUACCUGACCAAGAAGCCCCGGCUAACUACGUGCCAGCAGCCGCGGUAAUACGGGGGAUGCGAGCGUUAUCCGGAUUUAUUGGGUUUAAAGGGUGCGUAGGCGGCGCUUCAGGUCAGCGGUGAAAUACCGGGGCUCAACCCCGGGGCUGCCGUUGAAACCGGAGCGCUAGAAUUCCGAUGCCGUCGGAGGAAUGUGUGGUGUAGCGGUGAAAUGCAUAGAUAUCACACAGAACACCGAUUGCGAAGGCAUCUGACGAAUCGGAGAUUGACGCUGAUGCACGAAAGCGUGGGUAUCGAACAGGAUUAGAUACCCCAGUAGUC
rnacentral:rRNA from 1 species